CUUGCAGGGUACUCGAGUGGCGAACGGGUGAGUAACACGUGGGUGAUCUGCCCUGCACUUCGGGAUAAGCUUGGGAAACUGGGUCUAAUACCGGAUAGGAGCCAUCUUUAGUGUGGUGGUUGGAAAGUUUUUCGGUGUAGGAUGGGCUCGCGGCCUAUCAGCUUGUUGGUGGGGUAAUGGCCUACCAAGGCGGCGACGGGUAGCCGGCCUGAGAGGGUGUACGGCCACAUUGGGACUGAGAUACGGCCCAG
rnacentral:rRNA from 1 species